GAUGAAGAACGCAGCGAAAUGCGAUAAGUAAUGUGAAUUGCAGAAUUCAGUGAAUCAUCGAAUGUUUGAACGCACAUUGCGCCCGCUAGUAUUCUGGCGGGCAUGCCUGUCCGAGCGUCAUUUCAACCCUCAAGCCCCCGGGCUUGGUGUUGGGGAUCGGCGAGCCUCCGCGCCCGCCGUCCCCUAAAUCUAGUGGCGGUCUCGCUGUAGCUUCCUCUGCGUAGUAGCACACCUCGCACUGGGAAACAGCGCGGCCACGCCGUUAAACCCCCAACUUCUGAACGUUUGACCUCGGAUCAGGUAGGAAUACCCGCUGAACUUAAGCAUAUCAAUAAGCGGAGGA
rnacentral:misc_RNA from 1 species